rnacentral:pre_miRNA from 1 species
CAUUAAAAAAUUCAUCCAUUUGUACCAUUAAAAACUAGUGUGGCUGAUAGAAUAAUCGGAGAGUGACACGUGGUGUGCGAUGUGUAUCUCAUACUGAUGUAUAGGGAUUAGUUUUUAUCAGUAAAAACGGUGAAGUUUCUAACA